CUGGGUAUAGUUCAGUGGUAGAGCUUGUGCUUAGCAUGCACAAGAUCAUGGGUUCAAUCUAAUUACCAACC
rnacentral:tRNA from 1 species